GACGAACGCUGGCGGCGUGCUUAACACAUGCAAGUCGAACGGAAAGGCCCUGCUUGCAGGGUACUCGAGUGGCGAACGGGUGAGUAACACGUGGGUGAUCUGCCCUGCACUUCGGGAUAAGCCUGGGAAACUGGGUCUAAUACCAGAUAGGAGCCAUUUUUAGUGUGAUGGUUGGAAAGUUUUUUCGGUGUAGGAUGAGCUCGCGGCCUAUCAGCUUGUUGGUGGGGUAAUGGCCUACCAAGGCGGCGACGGGUAGCCGGCCUGAGAGGGUGGACGGCCACAUUGGGACUGAGAUACGGCCCAGACUCCUACGGGAGGCAGCGGUGGGGAAUAUUGCACAAUGGGCGCAAGCCUGAUGCAGCGACGCCGCGUGGGGGAUGACGGCCUUCGGGUUGUAAACUCCUUUCGCUAGGGACGAAGCUUUUUGUGACGGUACCUAGAUAAGAAGCACCGGCUAACUACGUG
rnacentral:rRNA from 1 species